CUGCUGGUUGUGAUGUUUAGAUGCUGCCGUGUUUAACCGGUGGACCAUCGAUGUUUCGGAAAUUCAUUAUCUGGAGCCCUGGAUACAACCAACGCUCCACUAAUCAGACGCACAUCGCUAAGGAGGGCAGCAUGUCUUUCUUCCUCCUACCGGCCGGAAUCCGAAGCAGCCCUGCAUAUCCUCUACCGCCCACCCAGACCUCCAGAAGCCAGGAAGCAGAGGUGGCCGGAAAUCUCAUCACAGUUCUGGGAACCCUGCAGGCUGAAAGGACAGACCCGCAACUGUCCUUGGUUUGGACCUCGGAGUCUGUCUUUGAGCGAGGCACGAAGGCGACAGCAUCCGGAGGGCUAAGUGUCGUAACUUUAGACCCCCUUCCAACUGAGCACGCUCACCAGCCUCAUCCCGGCAGGACCCAGUGCUUUCUGUGUUAGUGCCAGCCCUUCACGUACCGGAACUCACUUGUCUGCACAGAUCCUUUAUCUCUCCGUGUGAAGAGGGGGUGGAUAAAAGCAAAAAGACCCCUCUACUCAUCAACCAGGUGCCUGCCAAGAGCCUCAGGACCCACCUAAGUCCGAGGGUCAAAAACACCUACCGCCCUUACAAAGCCUGCAGGGAUAGCCGUCUGCCCCUGGGGCAGAGAAAGUUCCAGACUGAGGAGCUGGAUUCCCUCAGGAGGGAGCUGAGCAAGAUCAAAGCCCAGGUGGACAGUCUGUUGAAGAGUCUGGAGUCCAUGGAGCAGCAGAGGGAUCAGCACACAGGUCAGGUGAAGACUCAAGCAUCGGACCAGGAUAGCCAGGAGGUGGGGACCCUUCCAUGCUCCACUGUUACUUCUUGGGUGGCUUGUUUCCUUGCCUUGUUUUUGGAACAUUUCUGGUCACAUCCAUGCAACCUGAAGUAACCUUUCUGGAGCUAGGGCAAUGCAAAUAAAAGCAUGGUUCAGCCAGUCCACCCAGGAAA